CGGAACGGGUGAGUAAUGCGUGACCAACCUGCCCCAUGCUCCAGAAUAGCUCUUGGAAACGGGUGGUAAUGCUGGAUGCUCCAACUUGACGCAUGUCUUGUUGGGAAAGUGUUUAGUGGCACGGGAUGGGGUCGCGUCCUAUCAGCUUGUAGGCGGGGUAAUGGCCCACCUAGGCUUCGACGGGUAGCCGGCCUGAGAGGGCGGACGGCCACAUUGGGACUGAGAUACGGCCCAGACUCCUACGGGAGGCAGCAGCA
rnacentral:rRNA from 1 species